AUCCACGAACCCUGAGCUAGACACAGAGUGCUGAUUGGUGCAUAUACAAUUCUCCAGCUGGACAUAAAACUUCUCCAAAUCCCCACCCAACUCAGGAGCCCAGCUGGCUUUGCUUGGUGGAUCCCGCUCCGGGGCUGUGGGUGGAGCUGCCUGCCAGUCCUGUGCCGCGUUCCCGCACUCUUCAGACCUUGGGUGCAGAGAAAAGUCAGUGGGUUCAGCCUUGCCAGAUAAAAAGUAAUCAAAGGUCGUAAUACCAGCAUUUUUAAUAUUACCGCUGGAAGGCUUAGAAGUGUGUCUUUGCAAUGACAAAAUACAUUGAGAAGCAAUUUACAUCCUAAAUAAUUGUGGCUGAAUGAAAAUGGAGAUUGACAAAAAGGCUAUUCCAUCUUUGGGGAGUUCUUUAGCCAAAGUCUUCCAUGGAAAACAAUGUUAGGAAGAAUUUGUGGAGAAGAUACAGAAUGUAUAGAUCUCUGUAAUACACCAGUGGUUUUGAUAUAUCCUUAUCCUCUCUGGAAUGCAGAGUAGAUCUUAUCAGUUUUUCUGUUUUGGAAGUUGAGGAAGACGUGUUAUAUUCCUAUAUUAGAAGAUCUAUUUAUGCUGAUUAAUAUGAGCCAGAAGAGAAAAGGGAUGGAUGAUGCAGAAGACACAUAGAGAUCUGAUAAAGUGAAAAUUCUUACAGUGGCAAAAAGAUGGGUUUCAGUAUGCUUUUGUACAUUAGGGAACUCAUUUUCCUCUGGGUGGUUAAAAGAUUGCCAAGGAGAAUUUUAGCAUCGACAGUUUUAAAGGAAUCAAUUUUCAGCAACUCAAUUUUCAUGUGAACUUUUCUAAAGCGAUGUCGCUGAAAAAUUUAUCUAUACUCAGGAUACACUUUUUUGUUCCCAAAAGAAUGGCAUCAUUCAAAAUCUUAAUGUAGUGCAUUAUCCUGUGGUGGAUUACUUCUGGAGUAACAAAUAGCAAGGCUAUCUAACGAUAAUUCAAUAUUUCAGUCUAAAGUUUCUCAUUCUUCAUGUUCCAUCUACAUUUCUCUCUCUCUCUCUUUCUCUGUCUGUCUAUCUAUCUAUCUAUCUAUCUAUCUAUCUAUCUAUCUAAUCUAUCUAUCUACCAAUCUAUCUACCUUUCUAUCUAUCAUCUAUCUGAUCUAUCUCUAGUAAAGUGAAGCCUGGCAUUUAGAAAAGUGGCGUAUUCAUCCAUGUUGAGGUGUUGUGAGUUAAGAUAUAGGUAGGAAUAAAAUGGAAAACACUUUCCUUAAAUAUAUUUUAUAUUCUCCUACUAUUGAUUCCUUUACAACUAUUUCAAUUUAAGAAGAAAAAUGUCAGAUAGUGUGAUAUGAAUCAUGUUUGAGAAAUAUUUCCUUGAGAGUUUGACUAGUGCAACAAAAAAUAUCUGUAAGGGACAAUGAAUGUUAAAAAUGGUUUUAUUCCUGUGCUCGAGCAAAACCUACUCUUUUUAUGUAUUCUCAAUUUUCAGCCCUAGAAUGUGUUAUUAACUUGAAAGAAAAACUCUCCCAAAGAUCUAAAAGUUAUGCUGAUUUUUUAGAAAUAACUAAAGGUUUUCAAGACUACCAAAAUUUCAAGCUACAUGGGACAAUUACCAAUGUAUGGUGUGUGAGGGGAAGACUGUAGUAAGUUUAGAUGUCACUGAAUAUUUUUCACUAAGGGAUUUAAAGCAUUUUAUACUAUACAAAACAAUAAAAUGUCUAUUUUAUUUUCAGUGAA